GACGUAGGGCGCAAGCGUUGUCCGGAUUUAUUGGGCGUAAAGAGCUCGUAGGCGGUCUGUCGCGUCGGCUGUGAAAACCCGGAGCUCAACUCCGGGCCUGCAGUCGAUACGGGCAAACUGGAGUGUUGCAGGGGAGACUGGAAUUCCUGGUGUAGCGGUGAAAUGCGCAGAUAUCAGGAGGAACACCGGUGGCGAAGGCGGGUCUCUGGGCAACAACUGACGCUGGAGGAGCGAAAGCGUGGGGAGCGAACAGG
rnacentral:rRNA from 1 species